rnacentral:rRNA from 1 species
AACGAACGCUGGCGGCAUGCCUAACACAUGCAAGUCGAACGAGACCUUCGGGUCUAGGGGCGCAGGGGGGCUUAACGCGUGGGAACUAGCCCUUAGGUUCGGAAUACUUCACCGAAGGGUGACCUAAUACAGCUGAAUCUCUUCGGGGCAAAGAGUUGGCGCUUGGGGAUGGGCCCGGGUCGGAUUCGCUGGUUGGGGGGGUACAGGCGUACCAAGGCCAUGAUGGAGAGCUGGUCUGUGAGGGUGACCGGCCACAUUGGGACUGAGAUACGGCCCAGACCCCUACGGGAGGCAGCAGUGGGGAAGAGGAAACAAUGGGCGGAAGCCUGAUGCAGCAACGCCGCGUGCGGGAUGACGGCCAUGGGGUUGGAAACCGCAUUCGCCUGUGACGGGGCGUGAGUGACGGGAAUGGGUAAAGAAGCACCGGCUAACUACGUG